UACGUAGGUGGCAAGCGUUGUCCGGAUUUAUUGGGUUUAAAGGGUGCGUAGGCGGCCUAUUAAGUCAGUGGUGAAAUAUCUCAGCUCAACUGAGAGUGUGCCAAUGAUACUGAUGGGCUUGAGUACAGAUGAGGCAGGCGGAAUUGACGGUGUAGCGGUGAAAUGCUUAGAUAUCGUCAAGAACACCUAUAGCGAAGGCAGCUUACUAGGCUGUAACUGACGCUGAGGCACGAAAGUGUGGGGAUCAAACAGG
rnacentral:rRNA from 1 species